ensembl:snoRNA
UUCACUGUUGUCGAUGAUGUAUCGUUGGAACUGAAUCUACGUGAUCUAACUCAGAUAUUCGUCACUACCACUGAGACAACAAUGAG